rfam:Erwinia tasmaniensis strain ET1/99 complete chromosome.
ACUGGCUGGUGGCGCACUUCUCCCUGACGGGCGAAGCUGUCAUGCACGGUUAUCACGAUGUGCAGAUACUCAGGCCCGCAUAACGCGGGCUUUUUUUU